rnacentral:lncRNA from 1 species
CUUGUACUUCAAUGGUUUCCUCUUCAAUGUAUUUCCUCUUCUUCAUGAGGAGUUCCUUCAAAAAUUUAGCAUAUGAAGGCAUUUGUUGCAGUGUUUCAGAGAAUGGUAUGUUGAUCUCCAGUUUCUUAAAGAUCUCCAUAAAACGCUCAAAUUGUUUUUCUUUCUCCUUCCUAGAAUAACUCUUUGGGUAAGGAAGGGGUUUUACAAAUAUUUUUUCUUUUUUUCUCUCAUCCUUUUCUUCUUUCUUUUUUUCUCUCCUUUUCUUUUCUCUCACUCUAUUCUUUCUCUUUCUCUUUUUUCUUAGCCUCUUCUUUUUCACUCAACAUCUCUCUCUUUUUUCUCUCAAUCAACAUCUUGCCAGUUCUAGUAAUAAUAGCUUUACACUCCUCCCUAAGGUUAACUUCAGUAUUAACCUCAAAGUCAUCUAACUUCUUAACUAACUGACCCACUUGUAGCUCAAACCUUCUAAUUGCAACUUUAGUGCUUUUGUGGUUGGAAAUAGACACUUGCAUAAAUUGUUGAAGUGUGUCAUCCACUACAUAAAAUCUGAUAAUUAUCGACAGAUUUUUAACAAUGGAAAUAUUUCCAUCGGUAAAUUUCACUUACCAACGAAUUUUAUCGACAAAAUUCAUUUAUUUUGUUACUGACGAAUUUUACCAAAGGAAUCAUUACAAAAGGAAAAAAUCGUCGGUAAAUUCGUCGGUAAUGCAUCUUGCAUUUACCGAAAGAAAAAGUCAUCGAUAAAUCCGUCGGUAAUGCAACUUACAUUUAUCGAAGGAAAAAUCCGUCCGUAAAUCCGUCUAUAAGAACAUUGCAUUUACCUAGGAAAAAUAUGUUGGUAAAUCCGUCGGUAAAAUGAAUGGGAAUUUUCCCGCCCAUUAUUUUAAUUACUGAUGGAUUUUUCGUCGAUAAAAUGAACGGGAAUUUUCCUGCCUAUUUUUCCUCUCCGUCCACAAGCAACGUGCGUUAUAUAUCUCCCUUUCUCUCAUUUCUUCCUCUUUUGCUCGAGGAAGUUGUUUUUUUUCCUACUUUUCCAUCUUUCAUUCCAUCUUUUUCUUCUAUUCCACUCCAUUGUAGCUACAAAUCAAGACUGCCUCCAUCUCCAUUCCACAAGGUCCGCUCCUUUUAGUCAGGCCACCUUCAUCCUUGUUCUCUGCAACCACUGUCAACAUCGUCCAAUGUUUCUUUUCUUCCCCUUUCACGCUUCAGUUGCUACUAGCACUGUGCAACCCAUUUUUGUUCUUUAGUUCCCACGCUCAGGCACUUCCACCA